GCCCCAGAUAAAAUCUGAGGUGUAACCUGCCCAAUGGUUUCUAAUAUAAAGAUAUAAAAGUUCUUUAAUGAAAUUAAAAGGACGCGGUAACCUUGACCGUGAUAAUGUAGCAUAAUCACUCGCCAUUUAAUUGGUGGAUAGUAUGAAUGGUUGAACGAAUAUUUCGCUGUCUUAAGAAGAAACAUAAAAAAUUGAAAUAAUAGUUAAGAUGCUAUUUUUUACUGUAAGACGAAAAGACCCUAUAGAGCUUAACUAUAAUCUUUUUAUAAUAAAAGAAAAACAAUUCUAUAAUUAAAAAGAUUGGUAGUUUAGUUGGGGCGACUAUCUUCUAUAAAUAACGAAGAUAAGCAAUGUUAAUAGAAAACUUAUUGUAUAACAAAAAUGUUUAACAAUUAUAAAAUAGGCUAUAAUGACCCGUUAAUUCUUCAUAAUUAGAUUAACGAUCAAUUAAUAAAAGCUACCUUAGGGAUAACAGGAUAAUUUCAUUUUAGAGUUCCUAUCGAAAAUGAAGUUUGUCACCUCUAUGUUGAAUUAAGAUAUCCUGAUAAUGCAGCAGUUAUCAAAGGUAGGUCUGUUCGACCUUUAAAAUCUU
rnacentral:rRNA from 1 species